rnacentral:sRNA from 1 species
UUUCCUACUGCGCAGGCUCAGUGCUGCUUACCCAUCAUGGAAGCAAUGUGGCUCCUGUGUGUGGCGGUGGCGGUCUUGGCAUGGGGCUUCCUCUGGGUUUGGGACUCCUCAGAACGAAUGAAGAGUCUGGAGCAGGGAGGACGGCUGGGAGCCGAAAGCCGGACCCUGCUGGUCAUAGCGCACCCUGACGAUGAAGCCAUGUUUUUUGCUCCCACAGUGCUAGGCUUGGCCCGCCUAAGGCACUGGGUGUACCUGCUUUGCUUCUCUGCAGGAAAUUACUACAAUCAAGGAGAGACUCGUAAGAAAGAACUUUUGCAGAGCUGUGAUGUUUUGGGGAUUCCACUCUCCAGUGUAAUGAUUAUUGACAACAGGGAUUUCCCAGAUGACCCAGGCAUGCAGUGGGACACAGAGCACGUGGCCAGAGUCCUCCUUCAGCACAUAGAAGUGAAUGGCAUCAAUCUGGUAAGGGGGCAGCUCCCUGAAUGGAAAACCUGAGGUCUUGGUCCCAUUCACACCAGGUGGUUUCUGUAAUUUUUUCUGUGGCCACCCUCCCACUUCCAGUCCUUCUCCAGGGCCACUCUCUAAGGAGGCCAGAACUUCCAAUGCUCACCAUUAAACCUACUGAAGAACAAACACACCUUUUGAUAUCUUUACGAUCUUGUGUGAGACUG